GAGAAGGAAGUGCCCAGCACAUAUCAACAGAACUCAUCUGUUUUGCGACAAAGAUGCAUCAGUGUCGUGUUGACAGAAACCAAAGACAAGCAUUACGACGACAUUCGAAGAUCUAUACAGCAUGCCUUUUCACCUAAAGUAAGAAGCUGCAGUAUCUCCUGAUUCAAGGCCUUCAAGAACUGUUGGACCGCUUGAUCCAGAUGAAAGUCAGUCUUCCUAUGGGUGGAAAAUGUGCUGUCUGAACAACAUGACUGGACCAAAAUAUGUACAGUAUGCAGAGACAGAAAUACAGCCCUGCCCUUUACAGCGCACAGGUCACAGAAAUGCUUGACCUGCCGCUUGUUUCCAGCACUCCAAGAAGGUAGAGGCUCAGCAUCUCUGUGCAAAAUUAGUCCAUCUCCGUUUGCAUUUCAGCACUUAAGAUUGUUAGGGUGGGAUUGGAACACCCAGGCUAUAAGAUUGUUGCAUUUCAGAUAUAAAUCUCUAAAAUCUCUACCUGCCAUGCAUGUUUAGCUAAAAAAAAAGAAGCAAUAAACACUAUGGAUGAUAAGCUAUGUAUCUGGAGUAGGGGUUAUACUGUCAUCAUUCAUAUAUUUUAAAACAUGUGUACAGGUCUGUUAUUAAGGGACAGCAUUUGAACAGUACAGUAAGUGAUUAACUGCCAGUAACAAAUUACCCAAACAGAUACUGGGUCUCUGUUGAUGCCCUUUGGUCCUAAACACAGCAAAGUAAAAAAAAAAAAAUCUUGUUUAUGUUUUUAUGAGAAAGAAACAAACAUGUUUAUCACAUGUUCAAAGUUUUCCUUUUUUUGACUCCCUCAGAAUGAUACUGCACAUUUUCUACAGGAUGAUUAAUACAUCAUAUUUAACAUAUAUAUAUUUAUUAUUAUUAUGUGGUCAAUCAGGCUGAUAUUUUGAAAGGGUAGUGUACGAUUUAUGACAAUCAAUGCAUGCAUCGUUUGUUCUUGAAUAGUCCUACUUUUUGUGUUUCUUCUCUUCUUUGAUCUAGAUUUUCACAAGACAGCAAGUGUGCAGUUGUCCCACUUCUGAAUUGCUUCAAAUGUUUUUGUUGAGUUAUGCUUCUAGUCAAACGUUGAAUUCAUGAGCACCCAAAAGUGCCAUAUUUUGCUUUUUCAUCUGUUGCACACAAAUGUAUAACAGACAUUGCAGGAAUUAAGAGGAAGAUGCAUUUAUUUUAGAUGUUUUAUUAUGGUUAUUAUUUUAGACACCAUAUCUUCAUGAUCAUAGUAUGAUGAAGUCUGCUGUUCUAGGAGUGUGUGAUUGCCGUACUAGGUGAAGGAGCUGUACUUGUAAUGAUCUGUGCAAGUAUUUUGCUGGUAUGUACAAGACGGAAUUACCCGUCUGUGUAGCUGGUAUAUGUUUUACAGCUCCACACUAUGGAGGCACAAGAUUGACUUGAAAAUCGUCAUAGGUUUGGGAACACAUUCAUCCAUCAGACAAUGCAUUCUGUUUAAAAAAAUAAAAAUGAGGGAGAAUGCAGCACAGUUUGCGCCAUUUUGUACUUGUCAGUGACAUGAUCCUAACAUGAUCCAUCCCAUCUGUAUAAUAUCUCAGUGGUAGAAAUAUAUUCAUUCCCCCAUGCUAUUGGCCAAAUAUGGUUGCAAUGACCGCUAUUCUAAAAUAUUACAAAGAUAUCAGAAAAUGACAUAUGGACAGUGGUUCUGUUUUAUCAACAGAAAUGUAAUUUUUUUUGGAUUUUUUUACGUAAAAACGUAUUUCUCAAGUGUAAUUACAGUAGUUUCCUGCAACUGAUCAGUACAGGGAUGCUUCAUUAACAUGCCGCCACCAAGUAGUAUUGCUGUUACCACAAAUAAAUCCCAUUGAUCUGAGAAUAAGACUGACAGCAAACAGAUGUAACUGUUGUUUUUAUUAUAAAAAAGUGACAGAAGAGUGCAUUAAAAAAAGAGACCUUAAAAGGCUUAGUGCAGACAGAGCACGUCUGAGCCAGACGUCAGGUUUAAGCACUGUAGUGUGCAUGGGGGGGGGGGGGGGGGGGGUUAGCAGCGUGAAUGGGCGUCUUUCCUCUCAUCGU